AAGUCGAGGGGCAGCAUGGUCUUAGCUUGCUAAGGCCGAUGGCGACCGGCGCACGGGUGAGUAACACGUAUCCAACCUGCCGUCUACUCUUGGACAGCCUUCUGAAAGGAAGAUUAAUACAAGAUGGCAUCAUGAGUUCACAUGUUCACAUGAUUAAAGGUAUUCCGGUAGACGAUGGGGAUGCGUUCCAUUAGAUAGUAGGCGGGGUAACGGCCCACCUAGUCUUCGAUGGAUAGGGGUUCUGAGAGGAAGGUCCCCCACAUUGGAACUGAGACACGGUCCAAACUCCUACGGGAGGCAGCAGUGAGGAAUAUUGGUCAAUGGGCGAGAGCCUGAACCAGCCAAGUAGCGUGAAGGAUGACUGCCCUAUGGGUUGUAAACUUCUUUUAUAAAGGAAUAAAGUCGGGUAUGGAUACCCGUUUGCAUGUACUUUAUGAAUAAGGAUCGGCUAACUCCGUGCCAGCAGCCGCGGUAAUACGGAGGAUCCGAGCGUUAUCCGGAUUUAUUGGGUUUAAAGGGAGCGUAGAUGGAUGUUUAAGUCAGUUGUGAAAGUUUGCGGCUCAACCGUAAAAUUGCAGUUGAUACUGGAUAUCUUGAGUGCAGUUGAGGCAGGCGGAAUUCGUGGUGUAGCGGUGAAAUGCUUAGAUAUCACGAAGACUCCGAUUGCGAAGGCAGCCUGCUAAGCUGCAACUGAC
rnacentral:rRNA from 1 species